rnacentral:lncRNA from 1 species
CACAACUCAGCAAGGCGGCCAGCUCGUCCUCUCCUCCUGCUGCUCGUGAGCAUUCAGACCCAGGCAAGUUAUAUUCCCAUGAAGAAGAAAAGGGCUAAUUAAACUGGAGACCUUCUGAAGCACAGUUUCCAGCUCUGCAGGUGGCAUCUUUACUUCUCUCUCCACACUCUCCUCUGUUCUGAGGGUCUACAGGCGGUGGUUCUUUUAUUCUCAAUUUCCCAGCCUUCCUGGGGGCUCUUUCUUCUUUAGGUCUCCCAGCAGCUGUCUUCCCAAGUAGUUGUCAGAUGCAGCCCCGAGGGAGUGCCGCUGGGCUGGUAUUUGCACCACGUGACUUCAAGAAAUACAAAGAGGUACUCCUAGGGAGCUAACAAUUGCUUGCAUGCUUAAAAGGAUGGAUGAGGAAGUAAGACAGCCAGUUGUUAAAUGUUGGCAGCUUGAAAUCAGCCAAGGUGGGAGGAUUUACAUCCUAGCACUUGGCAAUUGCAGGAUCCCCCUUCUUCCUUUCUGGCCUUUCUGAGCCUUAUAAAGAAGGGGAAGACUGGACCGGAGGUAAACCAGAGACAGUUUCUCAGAUGUCUUGAAAUGUUGGCUCAGUGCCAUACAAUCUAAAGCUUUUCUGUUCCCCCAAAACAACAACGAAAUGGCCUUUAGCUGGUGAGGUUUCAGUACAAGCAGACAAAUACUAAUCUUCGUUGCCCUACUAAAACAGCUUCUCAGACAACUCAGCCAGAUAAAUAAGAACAACAAAGGAGCCAAGUCUCCCGGGACCCAGCAAGCAAAAAAUUAUUCAUUAAGGAUCCCAGUGUGGGGUAGCUGAAUGCCAUCAUUAUUAAACAGGUCUAUGCACAGACAAUUUUGGGCCCAACACACUGUUGGUGACGGUAUCCUCCAGGAAGUAGCAGGCAGCCUAAAGGAUUCCUGUUCUCAAGCCUGAGGUCUAUGGUUCUGGUCUCAGUUUCACGAUCUAAGCACUCAUCUGCUUCUGUAUAGGGUCUCCUGAAGAAGAGGAUCUGGGAGCCUAUUUUCGUGACGGUUUUCUUCCCAGGGAACCAUAUGCCACCAGACAGGCAGGCAGCAUGAGUGGAUUGCAGAUUCAGUGCUGGAGUGUUGGUGAACAGGGCGGGAUGUUAGUCCUCAUUGGAAGGCAGCUUGCUGCUGUGGCUCCUCCUCUUCUUGCCCAGAUACCCACGUAGGACAGAUGCUGCCCUCGUCUCCACCGCAGGCUCAUGGAUUCGGCUCUGAAUCUUCUCAACAUGAGUGCAAAUCACGGCUGUGGGGCCAGAUGUGAGAGGUGGAGGAAGAACGUUGGUUUCAAUGGCUUUGACUAUCUUCCCAUUUUCUUGACAUAGAGUCCACAGAUCCUCUUGGUGCCCAAAUCAAAACAUCUUCACUGUGAAACCUCACUUCCCAGCUGCAGGUGGAUAUACCAUCAUCACUCACAGCCAGCCAGCCUGUGGAGAGAAUAUGGUGGCACACUGUCACUUGGCACAUGUCUAGGUCCUGACCGUGAUUGGUGGUCCCAUUUCUUGACACAAGAACUCUCUUCAAAGAAUCUGAUCUUGCAUAUAUCACCACCCAUGGACUCUGAAAAUGUCUGUGAGUUGCUUUGCCUGAACUCACAGACCGAAUGCAAAGGUCACUAGGUAUGGGGACGUCUGUGACUUGCAAGUGAAAAGCGAGUUCAUGAAAGGUCUCAGUCCUGGCCACUGGUCACUUACCUGGGGAAGCUCUCUAAAUAUGGUAGUGUCAGGUUCUUGUGCUAAAUCAUUCACAUCAGAAUUUCUGCCGGGGUCCACACAUCCUUAAGCUCCCCUGGUUUGGUGGCCAUACCUUAGGGCAACUCAAGUAACUUCCCAUAGAAACCCCUUCCUUUGAGUGUGUGGAAACUUCAUCCUGCCUCUAACCACCAGAACACAGCAAAGGUUGUUAUUCCCCUAGAGUUACGCUACACAGCCAAGGUCAAGGGAUUUUGCAGACAUAACUAAAAUCCAUAGCCGCUUGACUUUUGGGAAAUGAGUAGGGAUUACCCUGAAUGGAGCUGAUAUUAUCAGGUAAGCGCUUUCUGAGUCUGUCUGAGAAGUCAGGGUCUCUCUGAAGACUUCGUUGUUUGUGUUACAAUGUAGAUAAGGAAUACACUAGGGAUUCAAAAGUCCAGCUAACCUGAAUGUCCCUGGGCUGGAAAAUGAGGUUUUCAUCUGGUAAGCAUUAUUUGUUAUACAGAAUUCUGAAAUGAGACAAAAAGCUGAUUGACUGUAUGUCCUUCUGAUGUCAUUAUUAAUCGGCCCAAUUCAAGGUUCAGUUGUAUGGGACUGUGAACCACUGUUUGGCUUUAUUAUUUGAGUAUAUUCUAGAUUCUGUCAACAUGUAGAUUUUUUCCUCCAAUUAUGCAUCCAUCUCAUAGAAAAAAUAAUCCCAAAGGUCAUAGUUCAUCACACUGUUGUAUGUUUGUCAGUUUUGGUAACUGACUUAGAAAUUCUAUCCUGAGAUUCUGUCAUUAAAUUAUGAAUAAACACCCAGUUACUUGCAUGAUCUUAGAACCAGCCUGACAAUAAUGAAUGAU